rnacentral:lncRNA from 1 species
UUCGGGCAGCAUUCAAGAUUGUUGCCUGGGAAGCAGAUGGUGAUACCAUUUAAAACCUCUGAUUGAAAUCCCCUUGGUGCCUAUAGGCAUUGUAGGCAGGACCCAGCUCUACAAGUUAGCCAGCUGGUUCUAGACACCCACUGGACUCUGGCUUCUAUUUCCCUGUGAUGAUUUCCACGCAAAACAUGGGUCUUGGCUGGUCCUGAACGGACUGUCUUUUGUUGAGUAAGGAGGGAGGGGCUGGGAUCUGGCAAUCUGUAUACUUUGUACAUGCAGACCCAGCCAUGAGGCUAUCUAUUACCCUCCUCUCCAAUUAGAGGGUUCCAUUGUAGAUGAUGAGGUCCUUAAGAAGCGGGAAGGCGAGGCCAACACAAUGGACUCUUGGAGGAUGUGACCUGCGCCCUGUGAACCCAGCCUGGAACCUCCAACCUCCAGACUCCUCAUUAGCCUCUAUUGUUUGAGCCGGGUUUGCUCUGGUGUUACUUGCAGCCAAAGCCAUCCCAGCUGAAGCUAGGCUGGUGGUGAAGCCCUUGGACAGAUGCAGCUGAGGGAAAGCGUCUGUUCCUACUCAAGGAUGGAGGAGGUUUAAGGGCACUGGAUACAGUUCUCAGUCUUGAUGUCUCACCAUGUGACUAGUGGUCAGAUGGUCCUCCUCCCGCACCUUGUGUGAUGGGCCAGUGGGCACUGCCCUGAGGAACGGGGUGAGGUGUUCGGACCCCAGCCUCACUUGCAUUCAUACCUCCUCAGCUUCAGAUCAGGGUGCUCUGCGUUCCCGUGGCUGUUCCUUCACCACCAUCUCCACAGCUCGUCCUAUUUCUGGAAUUAAAUUUCACUUGCAGAUCGAGUAAGCAGCUACUGAGGACCACACAUGCGCCGGGCCGUAUAUGCCCCACGCUGGACCCCUCCACGUAGAGCGUCUGAUUUCCGAGUCUCCAAAGCGGGCAUGGCGAUCACUGCAUUGCACAGAUGGGAAGGUGGGGCUGAGCGUGGCCGAGCGACUGGCUCCAAGGUCCUGCAGCCAGUUGUCUAACCUGCAGCCAGGCAUCGAACCCAGGCCUCCUUCAGCUAGUCUUUCCCUAUAAGAUGGGGUGGGGUUGGUACCAUAACGUAGUAGGUGAGGGUCCCAGCAUGAGUGCAAGAGGAUUCAGAUGUGGCCGGGCUUGUGCACUGCAGCCCACCAGAAGCGGAUUUGCCUGAUGGACUGAGGAGAGAGGUCACCUAAGGCAGAGGGAGUCGGGAAGACAAGCUCUGCCUGGCACUGACCAUGGCACGGCGGAGGGGGUUAUGGGGGGCCACGGUGAAAUUGAGCACAGCUUGGGGCCCCAGAAACCCAUGGGGGGAGCUGCGUUAUGAGUGAGGACCAUGAGAUGUCAGGACGGCCACACUGCAGCUUGGGGGCCUGUGGGACCAAGGGGGGCCCUGAGUAGGGAGAG